rfam:Mesitornis unicolor contig54317, whole genome shotgun sequence.
ACAAAGGCUCUUUUAAGAGCCACUCCAUAUACAAUAAAAGAGCUUUU